rnacentral:rRNA from 1 species
UACGUAGGGUGCGAGCGUUGUCCGGAAUUAUUGGGCGUAAAGAGCUCGUAGGCGGUCUGUCACGUCUGCUGUGAAAACUCGGGGCUUAACCCCGGGCCUGCAGUGGGUACGGGCAGACUAGAGUGCGGUAGGGGAGACUGGAAUUCCUGGUGUAGCGGUGAAAUGCGCAGAUAUCAGGAGGAACACCGGUGGCGAAGGCGGGUCUCUGGGCCGUAACUGACGCUGAGGAGCGAAAGCGUGGGGAGCGAACAGG